rnacentral:rRNA from 1 species
GCAGUAGCCGCGGUAAUACGUAGGUGGCAAGCGUUGUCCGGAAUUAUUGGGCGUAAAGGGCUCGCAGGCGGUUUCUUAAGUCUGAUGUGAAAGCCCCCGGCUCAACCGGGGAGGGUCAUUGGAAACUGGGAAACUUGAGUGCAGAAGAGGAGAGUGGAAUUCCACGUGUAGCGGUGAAAUGCGUAGAGAUGUGGAGGAACACCAGUGGCGAAGGCGACUCUCUGGUCUGUAACUGACGCUGAGGAGCGAAAGCGUGGGGAGCGAACAUGAUUAGAUACCCUGUAGUCCCUGUCUCUUAUACA